CCAUCACCACACCUCCACCCACCAGCUCACAUUCACUCACUGCCACCAAAUCUCCAUCAAUAACUGCUCAAGGCAUUACAUCCACACCUCCACCUACAUUCACCUCUCCUCCUGGUUCCACCUCCAACACUCUUCCUCCAUCACGCUCUCAUCCUCUUCUCUCUAUGAUGUUGGUCUCCUCUGUUGGAUCAUCCUGUGUUGUGGUUCUACUGGUGUUACUGGUUCUGCUGGUGAGACGAUGUGCUCACAGGAAACCUGAAGCAGAUCAAGAAGAAGCUGGAGAAGAUGACAUCAUCACUUAUGUCAUGUACAGUUACAUUCAAUUAUCAGAUCCUCAACAACAGCCAAUCAGAAAAAGCAAAGAGACUGAUACAACUGUGGUCUACCCAGCAGUGGGCUCUGACGAUGUCAGUAAUGGACAAACAACCAUCAGGACAAGAAAGCUCAGGUACAGCUGGGCUGUUCACCCUGUUUACCGUCAUUAUGCUAGGCUAAGCUAAGAAAAGUUUGAAUAAAGUAAUCCAUGAGAACCAAAAGUGCAGGCUGCAGAUUGCUCUAAACAUAUAACGAUUUUUCUACUCUUGGGUUUGUAUGAUAUCAUCGAUACCUAAUAUGGUCUCAGUGACAUAUGCUCCAGCCACCUGUUAUUUCAACCUUUUAUUAGUGAUUGGCAGCAAGGUAGAAAGCAUGGUAGAAAGUUGCCUUAAAGGGAGAGGAGCUAAUACAGAUUGUUUUAGACAGGAUGAACUAAGGGGCUCCAACAAAGCUCAGUGUAAGCUAAUGAAGUAUUACCCUGAACUGUGAAUCAUGCAGAGGUACUCUAGUCAAGUCCAAGAAUAAAAAUAAAGAGCUGGAAAUGAACACAGAACACAAAUCUUCACAAUCUGAUUCAACAAAAAUAAACUUGUGCAGUGAAAACACAAGUUAUAGUGCAUGAACUUCAACAGUGUAGGGUUGCUUCAAAUACAGGAAAUGGUGCAACAUAUAAUUGUGACUCUCCUUAUAACCCUGCAGGUACCUCAGGCAGGCAGCUGACGUUGACGUGCAAUAGAAUAACACCGACAAUAGUGCAGGGUCUAUUUUUGAUUGAACCUGCAAGAAACAGUAGAUUUUUUUUUGUUUCUCUAAAACUGCACAAAACAGUUCACCUACAAAGUAAAACCUCUGAGCUUGAGAGAAAAAAACAGAGCACUGUUUCUGUACCCAGAGAGCAAAAUGUUACUAGUCUUCAGUAGGAUACGGUCCAUAAAUGUUUCACUAGGACUUUGAGAUAAAUUGAAACAUAUUAGCAAGAUGUCUGACAGUCCAGUUGACUACAACUGAAUAACUACAGAACAUCUGUCAUUACCGCUGGUUAUCAGUAGACCAUCCAGGUAUAUAUUGUGCUAGAUGUAUCUAUACUUACUCUUGCUAUAGUGAGAACACACGUAUGCACUCAGUAUUACAUCAUAAACAAACCACAUCUCCCUCUGCAUGAGUCUGUGAGGGUGCUGAGCAGCUCUUUCAGUCAAAGACUGAACCUCACUGACAAAGUAAAACAGGAAUGAAGAUCGACACAAACAACCAUCAGAAACAGCAGCAUAAAGACAUGAAACACUGAGAGGUGAGGCAGAGAAACUACAAACGGAACACAGAGGGAACUAAUGACAAACAAAAAGUAAGAACUGAAGCUGAGAGAAAGAAACACUAAACCACACUAGAAGAAAUCGUGUGAUCAAAGUUAAAGGUCAGCACAGAUCUGUGGGCUCCAG
ensembl:lncRNA